GCCGGCGCGAAGGUGGUGGGCGAGGGAAGGGGGUUGGCGACGGGGAAGUAAUAGGGGAAGGUGGAUGGCGUCCAGCGCAAGGCUACACUCCAGAGAUGGGUUCUCCCUAUGCAGUCCGUGCUAGCCUCAAACUAGCAGUCCUCAGUCUUCCGAGCGCUGGGAUUACAGACCCCCAUUCAGUGCCUGGCACAUUAUAGAAGCUCAUUGUCUUUGUUGGAUAAACAAGGAAUUAAAGAUGCAGAUGAGCAAGACAGGGUAAUGGGGAGCUGGCUUUGGUUGAAUAACUGCUAUAUUCUACUUUACCUGCGUUAUUUAAUCACUACAAUAACUGUGAAAUAGGUAUGGUUAGCUCCUUGUACUAUUGAAGACACCAAGUCUCAGGUUAAGUUACCUGACCUGGUCUACACAGUGCAGAGUCAAACCUAGAUUCAUCUGGUUCCUUAACAUCUGCUGUCCUCACAGUUCCACUGGUUCCUCUUGGGCAAUAGAAGCAAAACCUUGCAUCACUACCAGUGACACGUCCUAAAUCCCCAGGUCCUUCGGUUGGGGUUUGCUAGGUUUGUACCUUAAAUGGACCGGAAAUGGAAAGGUUGGGCCCCCCAGGCAUUUGCAGAGGUGAGACAAGGGAGUUCUACAGAGAGUGGAUUUUCCUGAGGAAAAGAGUUUUCGAUCUGUGAAACUGAGCCCAAAAACCACACAAAUCACAUGCAGUCACCAACAUUUGUUAUUUCAUUUUGGUCGGGUUUAGUUUGGUUUGGUCUUUUUAAAACGGCCUCACUGUGUAGUUCAGGCUGGCCUUGAACUCAGUAUGUAGCCUAGACUGGCCUCAAACUAAUGCUGGGAUUACAGGAAUGCACUACCAUGCCUGACUUCUUGGUUUUUAGAGUUCCUUUUUCUAGUUAAGGAAGAAGACUGUAUAGACAAGUGUAGGAGGUACAUAGAGAUACACCAUCCUCCUCAUCUGCUUAGCAACUGUGAAGUACUGCAGACCAGCCAGUAUAGAAGCUGAAAGUUCCAGUGUCUCAGGGCACCGCCUCCUGAGGCCUCUCUACUUGGCCUCCAGACUAAGGCUUCCCAUGCAUGGCUGCCUUCUGUGUGUCUGAAGCCUGAUCACUUCUAAGGUUACAAUCCUGUUGGAUGAGGCCCACCUUGACAACCUUGUUUUUAACUUGCUUAUCUCUGUUUAGACCCUGUGUCCUCUAAAAUGGACACAUUGUGGGGUUCUGGGGGAGCACAACUCAGCUGUAAUGGAGCAUAUGAGAGCUCUCCUAUGACUGACUGUCCCUCUCUUCUCAGGGGCAAACAACAAGGUCCACCACCAAAGGAAAGAGGCAGAUAUUGAGAUUCUAGGAAGGAAAACAGAAAAGGAUGCCUCCUGGGGUAGGGAACAGAGGAGUGGACACAGGAAAUGCACCAUGAGUUCCAGGUAGCGUGAUUUCCUCAUUUGUUAACGGAUUUAGCUACAUGCAGAUACCAGUACCCCACUGCUUGGUGGUGCCUUGGACAGGUCAACACCCUAUUGUGUUAGAUGCCUGAACAGCUCUUGUAAAAAUUAUUAGAUAAACAAUACUUGGUGAGUUGUUAAGAGCAUGGUCUGAGGAAUCAGAGCACUGGAUCUGAAUGUCAGCAUCACCGUUUCUCAUGUGGUGGUUUUUAUCUGCUCUGUACCUGGGUCUCCUGUUUGUAAAAUGGGAAAAACUAGAGACAUUUACCUGACAAGGCUAUUAUAGCUAAGUGACACAAUCCACAAGUGAAAUAAGGAUGAAAACCAUCUAAAAAACCCAGAACUGAGCAUGAGUUGUGCUGACAUUUACACUUGGUGAGGUAUAUAUACAAAAUGGUCACAAUUUCAAAGAAAUUCAUGGCAAGAACUUAAAAUGAAAAAGGCAAGCUUUAAUUUGUAAGAAAAUAUACUGACUGAAGUACACAUUAGAGUGGAGCUGCAAGGAUCUAAUCAGAGGGAACAAAUGGACUGGAGAGGGAUUCACUGGGCCGAGGUACAGGCCAUCUCAGAGAAUCCAAAGGCACACACAGUAACUCCACCUCCCCUGGUGUCCCCUUCAGCCAUGGGUCACUGCCUCCAGUUGUUUAACAAGUAUUUCAUCAGAGGAUUAGCAGUAUAAAGUUCACCUAUCCUUAACUUGAAGUGUAAAGGAACUUGCAAUUGAGAUUUUUGUAGAAAAAAAGAAAAAAAAAAAAAAAACGGGUGUGUGAUUAGAACCCAGGUCUAUCACCAUGGUAUGGCUAUGGUUGGCUCAGUUUACUGAUGGCAAGAAGCUGUGGCUGCAGAACACACAGCAGUGCAUCCAGGUGUCUAGGAGAGUGUUAUGGUUUAUGUCUGGAUGUCCUCUCAAAGCCUCAUGUCACGAGGUGUGGGCUUUUUGGAAACACUAAAUCUCCGAGUUUGCAAUUGAUUCAUUGCCUAAUACUAGGAUUGGGGGAUGUGAGUACUACAUCUAUCCUAAGGUGGGUAGUCUGCUUGCAAUAUAAGGGAGUAAAAGAGAUUUGCUCCUCCCCUUUUGCUCUUGUUGCUUCUGCUGUCUUCUGUAAGCUAAAUAAACCUUUCCCACUUUAA